UGUGGGUGAAGGAGUUGGAGACACACAACCCUAACCUGGCCUGGUUAGCCUGGGCUCACAGCUACAUAGUGGAGAACCCUCUGUUUCUGUUCCUGGCUGCUGGGAUCUUCCUGAUAGUGAUUUACUUCAACACCCAGGUGGUGGAUGGACAGAGGAAGAUUAUCAGUCUGCUGCAGGAGCAAAUAGAAAACGAGGGGGAGGAUAAGAAGUUCCUGAUCACUCGUCUCCAGGCCAUCCACCAGCAGAAACGACCCCUCUCCCCUCGCAGACUCACCAGUCAGGCCAGUCAGGAUUCCAACAGCUAGCAUUCCAACUACUGAAACAGCAUUCUCUCCUUUCUCCGUGGAGGGAAUAUCUCAGUAAAUCUCUGAAUAUCCUUUGGAAAAUGUUCUGAAUGGACCAACCUGGAUGUAGCUCUCCUCUCCUGCCUCUGGGAAGAGCUGUUAAGGAAUUCUUCAACUGGAGAACUAUUCUCUGAGGAUGUCGUCUUUCCCAGGAAGCUGAGUUGGGACUGGGACGAGAAAGGAAUUUACUUCUUUACAAUAACAAAUCCCACAUACGCCAAAAUAUGAUUCUGAUAGGAUCCACACUCUUUCCCAGGAAUCUGGUCCUUAUAAGGAUUGGGAAUGGGACAAAGCAGGUUUUCCCUCUUCCAACAACAGGCUACACCUCAUAGGGAAAGACCACUGUCUUUAUAGGAUCUUACUAUGGCCAAGCCAUAGGCUACACCUUACUGUAACUAGGCUACACCUUACUGUAACUAGGCUACAUCUUACUGUAACUAGGCUACAUCUUACUGUAACUAGGCUACACCUUACUGUAACUAGGCUACACCUUACUGUAACUAGGCUACAUAGGAAAAUACCACUGAGUUUAUAUGAACUUACUAUGGCCAAGCCAUAAGCUACACCUUACUGUUUAUUCUUCAUAUAAUAUGACAGGACAUGCCACUGUCACAAAACAAUGGUUUAUCGAAGCUCAAUACUUUCAGCCAAGGAUCUUUGUCCUUUUUUAAAAGUUGGAUUGGAACCCCUGGUCAUGAGAGAGGAUGUAGGGGUGAAGAGGUGAGGAAACGAGACUGGGAUACGGUCUGCUUGUAGGGACACAGAACUGAAUGCGUUUUUUACAAACAAUAUUUUUUUUCCCUCACAACUUUGAAUAGGGAACAUAUCAAAUGCCAAGAAGCUGCCAACAUUGCACAAAGGAUUACAACAGUGGCAUUGUUAAGCAGGGUGAAUUCUGUGAAAUAUAGGAAUUGUAUUUUUUAAUUGUAAAUAGUAUGUUUUUUAAAUUACUUUAAUGUUUUUAUUGUAUAAACUGGUAUUUUGUCAACAGCCCUUUCAUACCAACUGUGAACAAAUAGGGUAUUUCUUUCCGUUUCUGAUAUAAAAUGUUUUUGAUAUGUUUUUAUGUUAAUUGGUGGUCAGUCUCAUCUCUGCUUCUGAAAUGGCACUCUUCCCUACAUAGUGCACAACUUUAUAGGGCGCUGGUCUUAAGUAGUGCACUAUGUAGAGAAUAGGGUACCUUUUUGGAUGCAUCCUCUGUUUACUGUCUCUGUAGGAGGAAUCCACCUCUUAGUAUCGGGUGAUCUGAUUGGUUCGUUCAAACAGGAAAUGGUCUUAGAAGAUCAACCACUGGAACAGUACGUUAUUUGAAUCUCUUUUUGUUUUUAAGUUUUAUUGUUUGUUUAUUUUAUACGUCAUUAAAUGUUUUACCAUAUUUGUGUGUGUAUUUGCUUAUCUGAUGUGUACCUAGUGGUUACGCUACACUUGUACUUUUCAGUGGAGAAAUCUAAUAUAAAUCAUUGAAAAAUACAUCUUUCUAUUAUUUAACACAAUUAUGAUGUAUUACAGACAUGCAAUCAGCACCAUAAA